UGGGGAAUAUUGGACAAUGGGCGAAAGCCUGAUCCAGCAAUGCCGCGUGAGUGAAGAAGGCCUUCGGGUUGUAAAGCUCUUUUACCCGGGAAGAUAAUGACUGUACCGGGAGAAUAAGCCCCGGCUAACUCCGUGCCAGCAGCCGCGGUAAUACGGAGGGGGCUAGCGUUGUUCGGAAUUACUGGGCGUAAAGCGCACGUAGGCGGCUUUACAAGUCAGGGGUGAAAGCCCGCGGCUCAACCGCGGAAUUGCCCUUGAGACUGUAUCGCUUGAACACGGGAGAGGUGAGUGGAAUUCCGAGUGUAGAGGUGAAAUUCGUAGAUAUUCGGAAGAACACCAGUGGCGAAGGCGGCUCACUGGACCGUUGUUGACGCUGAGGUGCGAAAGCGUGGGGAGCAAACAGG
rnacentral:rRNA from 1 species